rnacentral:rRNA from 1 species
AGAGUUUGAUUAUGGCUCAGGAUUAACGCUGGCGGCAUGCCUAAUACAUGCAAGUCGAAUGGUUAGCUUGCUAACCAUGGCGAACGGGUGAGUAACACGUAGGUAACCUGUCUUCAAGACGAGGAUAACCAUUGGAAACGAUGGAUAAUACUGGAUAGGACAAAUCCCCGCAUGAGGAGAUGUUUAAAGGAGCAAUCCACUUGAUGAGGGGCCUGCGGUGCAUUAGCUAGUUGGUGAGGUAAAGGCCCACCAAGGCGAUGAUGCAUAGCCGGACUGAGAGGUUGAACGGCCACAAUGGAACUGAGGACGGUCCAUACUCCUACGGGAGGCAGCAGUAGGGAAUUUUCGGCAAUGGGCGGAAGCCUGACCGAGCAAUGCCGCGUGAACGAUGAAGUAUUUCGGUAUGUAAAGUUCUUUUAUUUGGGAAGAAAAAACAAAUUGACGGUACCAAAUGAAUAAGCUCCGGCUAACUACGUGCCAGCCGCGGC